GUUUGAUCCUGGCUCAGAUUGAACGCUGGCGGCAUGCUUUACACAUGCAAGUCGAACGGUAACAGGGUGCUUGCACCGCUGACGAGUGGCGAACGGGUGAGUAAUGCGUCGGAACGUGCCGAGUAGUGGGGGAUAACGCAGCGAAAGUUGUGCUAAUACCGCAUACGUACUGAGGUAGAAAGUGGGGGACCUUCGGGCCUCACGCUAUUCGAGCGGCCGACGUCUGAUUAGCUAGUAGGUGAGGUAAAGGCUCACCUAGGCGACGAUCAGUAGCGGGUCUGAGAGGAUGAUCCGCCACACUGGGACUGAGACACGGCCCAGACUCCUACGGGAGGCAGCAGUGGGGAAUUUUGGACAAUGGGCGAAAGCCUGAUCCAGCCAUGCCGCGUGUCUGAAGAAGGCCUUCGGGUUGUAAAGGACUUUUGUCAGGGAGGAAAUCCCUAGUGCUAAUAACACUGGGGGAUGACAGUACCUGAAGAAUAAGCACCGGCUAACUACGUGCCAGCAGCCGCGGUAAUACGUAGGGUGCGAGCGUUAAUCGGAAUUACUGGGCGUAAAGCGUGCGCAGGCGGUUUGAUAAGCCAGAUGUGAAAUCCCCGAGCUCAACUUGGGAACUGCGUUUGGAACUGUCAGACUAGAGUGCGUCAGAGGGGGGUGGAAUUCCGCGUGUAGCAGUGAAAUGCGUAGAGAUGCGGAGGAACACCGAUGGCGAAGGCAGCCCCCUGGGAUGACACUGACGCUCAUGCACGAAAGCGUGGGGAGCAAACACGAUUAGAUACCCUGGUAGUCCACGCCCUAAACGAUGUCAAUUAGCUGUUGGGGGUUAGAAUCCCUGGUAGCGUAGCUAACGCGUGAAAUUGACCGCCU
rnacentral:rRNA from 1 species